rnacentral:tRNA from 1 species
GAGGGUGUAGCUCAAGCGCUAGAGCACGUGCUUAGCACUCACGAGGUCCUGGGUUCAGUCCCCAGUGUGUUCU